CCCAAGUCAUGAUCAGCCAAGGGUGACACUAGAGUAGGAUUUUUUAAUAAUAGAUAUACCUUCACCUCUCUACUGAGCAUAUUAAAUUCAAAGUGUGUGUAACUAGAUAUACAUGUGUGUGUGUGUGUGUGUGUGUGUGUGUGUGUGUGUGUG